rnacentral:rRNA from 1 species
CAUUCACGGAGAGUUUGAUCCUGGCUCAGGACGAACGCUGGCGGCGUGCUUAACACAUGCAAGUCGAACGAUGAACCACUUCGGUGGGGAUUAGUGGCGAACGGGUGAGUAACACGUGGGCAAUCUGCCCUGCACUCUGGGACAAGCCCUGGAAACGGGGUCUAAUACCGGAUACUGACCCGCUUGGGCAUCCAAGCGGUUCGAAAGCUCCGGCGGUGCAGGAUGAGCCCGCGGCCUAUCAGCUUGUUGGUGAGGUAAUGGCUCACCAAGGCGACGACGGGUAGCCGGCCUGAGAGGGCGACCGGCCACACUGGGACUGAGACACGGCCCAGACUCCUACGGGAGGCAGCAGUGGGGAAUAUUGCACAAUGGGCGAAAGCCUGAUGCAGCGACGCCGCGUGAGGGAUGACGGC